rfam:Triticum aestivum genome assembly, contig: Triticum_aestivum_CS42_TGACv1_scaffold_220857_3B
CAACUACUCCCUCUGUUCCAAAUUUCUUGUCUUAGAUUUGUCUAGAUACGGAUGUAUCUAAUACUAAAAUGUGACUUGAUACAUCCGUAUCUAGACAAAUCUAAGACAAGAAUUUUGGGAUGGAGGGAGUACUUU